rnacentral:rRNA from 1 species
CGGCGGAUGGGUGAGUAACACGUGGGCAACCUGCCUGUAAGCUUGGGAUAACUCGUGGAAACGCGAGCUAAUACCGAAUAAAAAGUUUGUUCGCAUGAACAGACGAUGAAAGACGGCUUUUGCUGUCACUUACAGAUGGGCCCGCGUCGCAUUAGCUAGUUGGUGGGGUAAAAGCUCACCAAAGCAACGAUGCGUAGCCGACCUGAGAGGGUGAUCGGCCACACUGGGACUGAGACACGGCCCAGACUCCUACGGGAGGCAGCAGUAGGGAAUCUUCCGCAAUGGACGAAAGUCUGACGGAGCGACGCCGCGUGAGUGAUGAAGGUCUUCGGAUCGUAAAACUCUGUUGUCGGGGAAGAACAAGUAUCGGCCUAACACGCCGGUACCUUGACGGUACCUGAUUAGAAAGCCCCGGCUAACUACGUGCCAGCAGCCGCGGUAAUACGUAGGGGGCGAGCGUUGUCCGGAAUUAUUGGGCGUA